rnacentral:rRNA from 1 species
UACGAAGGGGGCUAGCGUUGCUCGGAAUCACUGGGCGUAAAGGGCGCGUAGGCGGGGAGGUAAGUCGGGUGUGAAAUCCCUCGGCCCAACCGAGGAACUGCGCCCGAGACUGCUUCUCUUGAGUCCCGGAGAGGAAGGUGGAAUUCCCGGUGUAGCGGUGAAAUGUGUAGAGAUCGGGAGGAACACCGGUGGCGAAGGCGGCCUUCUGGACGGUGACUGACGCUGAGGCGCGAAAGCGUGGGGAGCAAACGGG